CCAAAAAGAGGUGAAUUUUUGUUAAUAAUUUUAUUGGGGCACUCCUUCUUCUGUAAGUUUAACUCUAGCUAAAAAUAUAAAACAUAUUUAAUGUAUAUAAAAUCACAGAAUUAAUUUCAAGCUAUUUAGUACAAAAAAUUUUUAAAACUAGUUAACCAAGUAAAAGUAAAUAAAUGAUCAAUUAGGUGCCAGCAUUCGCGGUUACACCUAUAUUUGUUAUAUUAUUCAUGGCCUAGAGCCCUAUAACUAAACAUAAAAGCUUUAGAAGUAAAAUUCCAUUUACUUUUUAAAUAAAUUAAAAUAUCUUAAAAAUUAAAUAAUAAACAGGGAUUAGAUACCCCUCUAUAUAAAAUAAAUUACCACCUAGGGUAGUAGAUGUUAUAUAACUUUAAACCCAAAGAAUUUGGCGGCAAUCAACCUUUCCAGAGAGACCUGUUUAUUUAUUUGAUAACCCACAUUAGAUCUUACUUCUACUAAAACUUGCAUACCGUCAUCUAAAUUUUAUCCUAAGAUAAAUAUUUUGAAGGUAACAAAAAUGUUAGAUCAACGCGCAGUAAAUAUAAAAGCUUUUAAUGGGUCUCAAUUUAAAUCAAAUAGAAAAAGCUUGAAUAGACUUUAUAAAGAGAAUUUGGGUGUAAUAUAUUUUUAAAAAAAUAAUAUGACUAAGCCAUUGAUUGUGUACAUAUCGCCCGUCGCCCUCGACACGAGGUAAGUCGUAACAUAGUAGAAGUACUAGAAAGUGUUUCUUUACUUAA
rnacentral:ncRNA from 1 species